rnacentral:rRNA from 1 species
AUUGAACGCUGGCGGCAUGCCUUACACAUGCAAGUCGAACGGCAGCACGGGAGCUUGCUCCUGGUGGCGAGUGGCGAACGGGUGAGUAAUACAUCGGAACGUACCCUGAAGUGGGGGAUAACGCAGCGAAAGUUGUGCUAAUACCGCAUACGAUCUGUGGAUGAAAGCGGGGGAUCGCAAGACCUCGCGCGAUUGGAGCGGCCGAUAUCAGAUUAGCUAGUUGGUGGGGUAAAGGCCCACCAAGGCGACGAUCUGUAGCUGGUCUGAGAGGACGACCAGCCACACUGGAACUGAGACACGGUCCAGACUCCUACGGGAGGCAGCAGUGGGGAAUUUUGGGACAAUGGGCGCAAGCCUGAUCCAGCCAUGCCGCGUGAGUGAAGAAGGCCU